AGAAUUAUAUAUGUCAUGCUCUUCAGGAAGAUUCUUCUGCUUAUCGCAGUUUCAAGAAGGUUCCCCUCCUUCUUGUCUAACCUCGCCACCAGUCCAAACCCUAAUCUCUCCGUUGUCCUCCAAUCACCACCACCACUGGAGCUGAGAAUGUCGCACUUCGGAAGAUCAGGUCCGCCGGACAUCUCGGACACCUACUCCCUUCUCGUCCUCAACAUCACCUUCCGUACAACUGCUGACGAUCUGUUCCCGCUCUUCGACAAGUACGGGAAGGUUGUUGAUAUCUUCAUUCCCCGGGACAGAAGGACUGGGGAAUCCCGUGGCUUUGCAUUUGUUCGGUACAAGUAUGCUGAUGAAGCGCAGAAGGCAGUGGACAGGCUUGAUGGUCUGACUAUAUCUCCAUUCUCCAGGAGAGUUGUUGAUGGCCGAGAAAUAACAGUUCAGUUUGCUAAGUAUGGACCAAAUGCAGAGAAGAUACACAAAGGAAGGAUUGUCGAAAUGCUUCCAAAGUCAAGGUACAGAUCAAGAAGUCGCAGCCCUAGGAGGAGGUCCCGUGAUGAUUACAGGGACCGGGAUUAUCGGAGGAGAAGCCGCAGCAGAAGUGUAGAUAGGUAUGAUCGUGAUAGGUAUCGUGGAAGGGACAGGGAUUACUAUCGUCGUAGCAGGAGCCGCAGUAUUAGUCCUGAUUAUAGAAAAGGUCGGGGCAGGGAUCGAUAUGAAGAUGACCGCCGCAGCCGAAGUCGAUCAGUGGACAGUGCUUCUCCUUGCCGGCGCAGUCCAACCCUUCGAAGAAGCCCUUCCCCACAAAGGAGCCUUUCUCCCGGGAGGAGCCUUUCCCCUCGAAGGAGCCUUUCCGCGCUGAGGAGCCCAUCACCGGGGUAUGAAAGGCCAGGUAGGCAUACUCUCAAUGGCCAUUCUCCUUCUAGGAGUCCAUCUCCUGGGGGUAGGCCUGCUGCUUCUCGGAGCCCAUCUCCUCAAAAUUCAGACGCAGAGGAUUGAGUAUUGACGAGGGAUGCAAUUGAUGCUUCUCGGACUCACUGUCUUCGUUGAUCAUUUCAGUCUGGAGAUUCCUGAGCCAUGGUUCAUACCGAACUUUAAGUGAUGCUAUCUGUAGGAUUAAAGUAAAUGUCCAAGGAAGAGUGGUGAGGCUGAUAAGUUGAGAUUGUAGCUGUUCACUUGAGGCUGUUCGUGAUUGUUGAUGCGAUGGGAUGAUCGUGAAUUUGUGGAUGAUUGCGUCAAUAUCCUGGUUAUAGCGUUGUGCUGGUAGAAGAACAGUGAUAGGUUACUUUUACGCUAAAGAUUCAAAAGCUGGUAAGGUUUUUGGGGAGUUUUUGACUCUAUCCACUUCCUUGGAUCUUAAUGUACUCUGAGGUCCUGAUUGUUUUUGUUUGAUGGUCAUACUAUGGCUGUUUGUUGCCGAGAAACUUUUGCCGUGAGCGGGGUUGUUGACUGCUGUCAUGGCCUUAGUGGAGGACUAGAAGCUGAGAACUCUUGAUUCGUAGCCCAUGCUGGAUCUUGAUUAGGUGUAUGAAUCCUUGAACUUCAUGCUGAUCCUGAGUAGGCUGCUGAGCUCUCUCCACAUCCGCCUCCAAAAAAAGGGUAACAUGUGUUGGUUUUGUUCUCAAAUUGAUCUGUUUGAUAAGUACUGCAGUUUUAGCUUAGCAUCGAAGAUUGCGGCUCCUGUUGCUUGAUGGGUUGAGAAAAACCAUAAUGCAUGUCGUCAAUAGCACUCGAACUGGGCCCUGAUGUUGAUCUCUGUAUCAUGUCUGUUGGUUCUGGAGCUACCAACGUUCUCCAGUGGACUGUGGACUGCUGGUGCUUUUGCUAUCAUCAUGGGGUUUGCGAUAUGAAAUUAGCGUGCGAUUAAUUCACGGUAAUUGCUGGUUAGCUACUACUGUCGCUGGUUUGGGUCCAAUCGCAAUGAUGUGUGUUGCUCGAUGUGGAUUGCUCAAUUUGUGGUAGCAUUUAUUUCUGAAUCUGGUCUCUAGGAUUGCACAGCUCACGUUGAGUGAUGUCAGGGACUCAAAAGAUUUGUGGAGGUUUAACAACGUGCUCAAGGUUUGAUAGGUUAGCAUCAUGCGGUAAAAUUUUCCUAUCUAGAUUAAGAUUACAUCUUUUUUUUUCCCCUUCGAACUUUCGGGGCAAUUUGAUGUGCUCUCUCUCAUUCAUGACUUCGUCUCUCAGUACUUUUAAUAUUAAAAUUUGUGUACUCAAGGAUGUUUGGCAAUGCUUGUUUUGUUGGAUAAUUGGUUAGCCCAGCGAAUGGAUUAUUUGAA